GAAGGUUUAGUUAAAAAAAUAACACUAGCUUGUCAAGCCAGAAUUAUCGUAAAGGAUACCCUUCU
rnacentral:tRNA from 1 species